AUGAACCUCAGAUUCAAGGUUCAUAUCGUUGCCACUUUCAGGAGAGUCUGUCGAGGUUCAUGCAUGGCGCCCAUGGAGAAAAUCGAUGUCCGGAUGAACGGCGAGCCGAGGUGCGCUCCGUCGCCGGAAGGACACGCUUUCUCGGCUGAUGUCGGCGGCGGUAUGACGAUCAAGACACCUUUCUCUGUGUCGUUGAGCGUACCGGCCUCGCCGUCGAGUGACGCGAAGCCCGAUGUCCACCACCCCGCCGUGCCGCUGAAGCAGGCUCGUCAACAGUCGCUGCCGUCCCCGACAGUAAGAGGCAGCGCCGCCGAGGUGCCGGCCAUUCGGCGGAGCGACACCGCGCGGAAGCGGGACCGGCGAUUCGACCGCUUGAGGACCUUCUCCGGCCGCCUCGACCGCCAGCUCUCCACCCUCCGCGGCCUGUCGCAGGAACUGCCGGCUGCUGACCUCGAGCGCGGCAGCGCCAAGAUCUCCGAGGAGGACACCGACGAGGAUCACGACGUCCCCACCGCCGGCCGCUACUUCGACGCCCUCGAAGGCGCCGAGCUCGACACCCUUCGCUCGACAGAGGUGGCGGUGCUGCCCAAGGACGAGCUGUGGCCUUUCUUGCUUCGGUUCCCCAUCAGCGCGUUCGGGAUGUGCCUCGGCGUCAGUAGCCAGGCGAUGCUAUGGAAGACGCUCGAGUCAGAGCCCUCCAUGGCGUUCCUCCGCGUGCGCCCCGCCGCCAACCAUGCCCUCUGGUGGGUCUCUGUUGCCCUCACCGCCAUCGUCUCCAUCGUCUACCUCCUCAAGAUCGUCUUCUACUUCGAGGCCGUCCGUCGCGAGUUUCACCAUCCUGUCCGCGUCAACUUCUUCUUCGCUCCUUGGGUCGCCUGCCUCUUCCUUGUCAAGGGAGUGCCCCUCCCAGAGUGGGAGAUCCAUCAUGUCUUCUGGUACCUUCUCAUGACGCCCAUCCUAUGCCUCGACCUCAAGAUCUAUGGUCAGUGGAUGUUCAGCGGCGAGCGGCGCCUCUCGAAGGUAGCCAACCCAUCCAACCACCUCGCCGUUGUUGGCAACUUUGUUGGUGCGCUACUCGGCGCCAGGAUGGGCCUCCGGGAGCUGUCCAUCUUCUUCUUUGCUGUCGGGUUGGCCCACUAUGCGGUGCUCUUUGUCACGCUCUACCAACGGCUCCCCACCAACGUGCAGCUCCCCAAGGAGCUUCACCCGGUCUUCUUUCUCUUCGUUGCCGCACCUAGUGUCGCGUCCAUGGCAUGGGCGAGGAUUUCCGGCGAGUUCAACAAUGGCGCCAAGCUCCUAUACUUCGUAUCGCUCUUCCUCUACGUAUCGUUGGUGAUGCGGGUCAACCUAUUCCGGGUGUUAAGGUUCUCGUUGGCUUGGUGGGCCUACACGUUCCCAAUGACAAGUGUUGCCCUAGCAACGGUGUUGUAUUCGUCAGAGGUGAACAACAUGUUGACACAGAUGGUUGCAGUCGGGCUAUCAGGAAUUGCCGUUGUCACUGUCAUCGGUGUGUUGGCCACCACCGUGUACCAUGCCUUUGUGUGUGGGGACCUGUUCCCCAACGACAUUUCCAUCGCCAUCACGCAGAAGAGGCCCAAGUUUAGUAACAUACUUGCGCACCUCCACUUGCCCAGUCCGGCGUGA
rnacentral:rRNA from 1 species